GCGGCGGGGGCUGGACGCGCUCUCCGGCCACCUGCGGCUGCGGCGGGCCCCGGCGGAGGGAUCUGGGCAGAGGCGGCGCGUGAUUGGACAGCCGGCCGCACGCACUGCCGGGCCGGGAUGGCUCCGCGCGCCGCGACCAGGUGCGAGCGGGAGCGGGGCCGGGGCCGGUGCGGUGUGGGCGGCCCUUAGCCUCCCGGGUGCCGCUCGGAGAGCCGGGAGCCGACGCUUUGUCUUCCGGCGGGAAGUGCAGCCUCCUGGCCGCUCGGUUCAUCCUGACUCGGCAUGGCGGGGCGCAGCGGAGGCGCUCUGAGCAGGUGGAGGUGGUGCCUGGGUCGGCAGCUCUCGGGGCACCUUGCUGGCCCAGCAGCGAGAGGGAGGCGCCCUGGUGGCUUCCCUGAACCCGAUGGAAGCGGUUCUGCAAUUCCCUCACGCGGGACUGCGGGACUGCCGCCCACUGCCUACGGGCGGCGGCGUCUCCCGGGGGAGGAGGAGCAGCCCUGACGCUCACCACGGGGCUCGGGUCCUUCCUCUGACCCGGCUCUUACCCGGCUUUACCCAAACUAUAAUCCCCAGGUGCCCUGGGAUGAGGUGGCUUACGGGGAUAAGGUGAAAGGAAGCUCCAGAUGGGCAAAGGGGUCAUGGGGUGUCCCCGGGAGACCAGAGGGAAGAAAGAGAACGGCAUCUACAAUAAGCCUGGCCUGGGUCGUUGAUGUCCAAAAAGUCCAGGCACCCGUGACAUGGGCAGAACGGUGGUUGAAGAAGUUGACAGUGAUUCAUGGACGCUCUCCUGAGCCUCAGAGCUGGUGUGACCAUGACCCUGAGCAUGAACGGAUCAUGCUCUCCCAUGAGCCAGUACUUUGCUCGGUUCAUCCUUUCUGUCUGCAGUGUUCUUCCCAUGCUGCCUCGCCAGGUCAUCUCCCGUUCCCCUCAUCAGCAACUAGCUUUAAAGACGUUACUUAUUCAGCUCAUUGUGUCAAACAUAGAGAUUUGUGGUUUUAUAAAUGUGGAGCUAAACCAAGCUUUCUAGACUAAUUUUCUAAGCUAGUGUGUGUGUGUUUUGUUGUUGUU